GACGAACGCUGGCGGCGUGCUUAACACAUGCAAGUCGAACGGAAAGGCCCUGCUUUUGUGGGGUGCUCGAGUGCGAACGGGGGAGUAACACGGGAGUAACCUGCCCCUGACUUUUGGAUAACUUUAGGAAACUGGGGCUAAUACCGGAUAGGAAUCCCUGCUGCAUGGGGGGGGUUGGGAAGUUUCGGCGGUUGGGGAUUGACUGGCGGGUUAUCAGCUUGUUUGUUGGGGAGGGGCUUACCAACGCUUUGACGGGUAGCCGGCCUGAGAGGGUGGCCGGCCACAUUGGGACUGAGAUACGGACCAGACUCCUACGGGAGGCAGCAGUGGGGAAUAUUGCACAAUGGGCGGAAGCCUGAUGCAGAAACGCCGCGUGCGGGAUGACGGCCUUCGGGUUGUAAACCGCUUUCGCCUGUGACGAAGCGUGAGUGACGGUAAUGGGUAAAGAAGCACCGGCUAACUACGUG
rnacentral:rRNA from 1 species